rnacentral:misc_RNA from 1 species
UUAAGUUCAGCGGGUAGUCCUACCUGAUUUGAGGUCAGAGUCAAAAAUUGCCCGAGGGCGAUUGUAAGCAGUCAUCACAACCUUCACCGACGAAACUUAUUACGCCGACUACGGUGCUAUCCCGCUAAGUCUUUUAAGACGAGCCGAACCCGUUGGGGGCCCAGCAACGUCCAAGUCCAAGCCCGACAUCGAUAAAGAUG